rnacentral:rRNA from 1 species
GAUGAACGCUGACAGAAUGCUUAACACAUGCAAGUCAACUUGAACUUCGGUUUGGGUGGCGGACGGGUGAGUAACGCGUAAAGAACUUGCCUCACAGAUAGGGACAACAUUUGGAAACGAAUGCUAAUACCUGAUAUUAUGAUUAUAUGGCAUCGUAUAAUUAUGAAAGCUAUAUGCGCUGUGAGAGAGCUUUGCGUCCCAUUAGCUAGUUGGAGAGGUAACGGCUCACCAAGGCGAUGAUGGGUAGCCGGCCUGAGAGGGUGAUCGGCCACAAGGGGACUGAGACACGGCCCUUACUCCUACGGGAGGCAGCAGUGGGGAAUAUUGGACAAUGGACCAAGAGUCUGAUCCAGCAAUUCUGUGUGCACGAUGAAGUUUUUCGGAAUGUAAAGUGCUUUCAGUUGGGAAGAAAAAAAUGACGGUACCAACAGAAGAAGUGACGGCUAAAUACGUGCCAGCAGCCGCGGUAAUACGUAUGUCACAAGCGUUAUCCGGAUUUAUUGGGCGUAAAGCGCGUCUAGGUGGUUAUGUAAGUCUGAUGUGAAAAUGCAGGGCUCAACUCUGUAUUGCGUUGGAAACUGCAUGACUAGAGUACUGGAGAGGUAAGCGGAACUACAAGUGUAGAGGUGAAAUUCGUAGAUAUUUGUAGGGAUGCCGAUGGGGAAGCCAGCUUACUGGACAGAUACUGACGCUAAAGCGCGAAAGCGUGGGUAGCAAACAGG